rnacentral:rRNA from 1 species
AAUCAACGCUGGCGGCGUGCCUAACACAUGCAAGUUGAGCGCUUGAGGGGGCAACCCCAAGAGAGCAGCGAACGGGUGAGUAACGCGUGGGUGAUCUUCCUUCGAGUGGGGAACAACAUCGGGAAACUGGUGCUAAUUCCGCAUAAUACCCUGGGGCUACGAGCCUCAGGAUCAAAGCCGGGGACCGCAAGGCCUGGCGCUUGAAGAUGAGCCCGCGUCCGAUUAGCUAGUUGGCGGGGUAAUGGCCCACCAAGGCUUCGAUCGGUAGCCGGCCUGAGAGGGCGGACGGCCACACUGGAACUGAGACACGGUCCAGACUCCUACGGGAGGCAGCAGUGGGGAAUUUUUUCGCAAUGGGCGCAAGCCUGACGAAGCAACGCCGCGUGGAGGAUGAAGGUCUUCGGAUUGUAAACUCCUGUCGACCGGGACGAAUGCACCCAACCUAAUACG